ACUUAAAUAUUCACAGAAAUAACUGAAAAGGGAUGUUUUUUGCUUUUUAGGGCUGCUCCCACGGCACAUGGAGGUUCCCAGGCUAGGGGUCUCAUCGGAGCUACAGCUGCCAGUCUACACCACAGCCGAGCUGCGUCUGCAAACUACACCAGAGCUCAUGGGAACGCCAGAUCCUUAACCCACUGAGCGAGGCCAGGGAUUGAACAGGCAACCUCAUAGUUACUAGUUGGAUUUGUUUCCACUGUGCCACAACAGGAACUCCACAAAGGGAUGUCUGAAAGGCAGAUAACAUUGAAGAUGCAGCAGAAGUUCAGUGCUUUAGGGAUUCAUGGGUAAUAUCUGCUAGUAGGAAAUAUCAACACUGUUGAAACUGUAGCAAGCUUCUUGGCUGACCUCUGUGUGGGGAUACAUAAUUCCCCUUCCUUAAACAGUGUUUCAUUGAGAUGAGAAAAAGACUCCUGCUCUGCUUGGGAGUUUUUAGUACACUGGUGCUUCUCUUUAAAUCUGUUUUUGAAAUUCUUGUUUUGGAUCUCAUCUUAUGCAAAAGUGCCUUUUAUUGACACAUCUUCAAUAUUCAAGCAAUGAAACUGUAAGUUUACCUCUGUUGAGUGUGUUCCAAUAAUGGAAGUAACCUAUUCCAAGUUUCACACUUGCCAGAGUAGUUCUGUAACCAGAAGGUUAUAACCUGUUUGCAAUAGCUGGAUAGUAGUCUGAAGAUGAAAAUGAUCGAGGCCUUUUAGUUUUUGGUUGGUGUUUUUUAUCACUGCAUUUUUCCUUUCCAUUAUUCCUUUUCAGAACUUCACGUUCAUCCUUUGGCUUUGUAUAGCUUUCCUUGUCCCAAUUUCUUCUUCUUCUUCUUUUUUUUUUUUUUUUUUUUUUUGCUUUUUAGGGCCCCAUCUCCUGGGAACCUCCAUAUGCUGCGAGAGCAGCCCAAGAAAUGGCGAAAAGACAAAAUAAAAUUAAAAUAAAAAGUAUAUAAUCAUCUGGUUGGGCUAUUAUUAUAGGGUUGAGGUUGGCUCACAGGCGACCCUCCUUCCCUAUUCUACAUGUAUGUCUGUUCUGUGUUAGUCUCAUGUCCACUUGCAGUGUUAGCUAUUGAAUAGUAAGCUCCACAAGGACAGGGCCGAGUGAAGGCUCACUGAAUUUUUCCUGAACGAAUAUAUGUGCUCAUACCUGUAGCUGCCCAGGACUUAGGAAACUCGAUUUUUAAAUACUACAAGAGAGUUGUUACUUGCUGUACUUAUUUUUGAUUCCUUCCCUCAAAUGUUCUCGUGGUGGUUACGGUAACAUCACUUUCCUCUUACGAAAUUCUCUGCAUGUGUCAUUAAGUCUUUGUAAUCCUCAGUUUUCAUCCUAGAAGGCAUAGUGACUUUCUACCAAAGAAGACUUAUUCCACCAUAUUCUUGUUUAAAUGUAGGGAUCUCUUAACCAAAUGGAUUUUUUUUUUCUUCUAGAUUUAAAGAAAAAUGUGAUCUUAGUACAUGGCUUUUUUAAAAAAAAAUGUUUCGUUUUGGAAUAAUUUUAGAUUUAUGGUGAAUCUAUAAAGAUAGUUCAGAGGUCCUGAUAUCUUUCCCCAGCUCCUCCUAAUGUUAGCAUUUUUACAUAACAUUGGUGCAGUAUUCUUAACUAAACUAUAGAAUUUAUUUGGAUUUCCCGAGUUUUUUUUUUUUUAAACAAAAUAUUUUUUUCCUGUUCCGGGAUCCAAAAUUGUUAAACACGUUUAUUUUAAGAAACAUGUAUGGCUAAAAAGACCAAAAAAGGUAUGGAUAAUCCCCCUACCCAGAGACAAUUAUUGGGAUUUUUUUAGGAUAUAUCCAUCCAUAUUUUUUUCUGUAGAUCAGUCCAUUCCCCCCAAACUUUUUGGAUUCUCCUAAAAAACAAAAUGUGUGUGUUUAAAAAACAUUUUAUUUUAUGGUUCUGCUUGUGGCAUAUGGAAGUUCCUGGGCAGCUGUGACCUACUACCAUCCUGCGGCUAUGCCGGAUUCUUAACCCACUGUGCUGGGCUGGGGAUCUAACUCUUGUCGCAGCAGAGACAAUGCUGGAUCCUUAGCAUGCUGUGCUCCAGUGGGAACUCCACAAAAUAUGUUUUAUUUACCAUUUUGUAAUUAGCUUUUUUACAUUUAAUAUAGCAUUUACUUUUUGGUGUACAUCUUCCCAUGUGUGUUAUUUUUAAUGUAGUUUAAUCUAGACCCCAUCCUUAGUUAUUUUGUUGUUUCCAUUUCUUCAUGAUUUAAGGCCAAACUGCAUAUUUUCCCAAUCUUCCCCCUCAACAAACCUGAAAAAUAGGACACUUUUAUCAGUAACAAUGGCUCAUUAAGCCAGUGAUUCUAAAUAUGUGUGUAUUGGGUUGAAUCAUUUGAGAUUGCUAUUUUUUGUAUGUAACAGCUUUUUGACUAUCAGCGAUUUGAUGUGGUUCAACCUAAGAGUUUGUAAAAGCUUUCUUGGUUAUUCUGAUCCCUUUUCUCCCUUCUUACUUCACUGAGAAUCCCUGGUCUCUUUACUAAGAAUCAUUGCAUUUAGAAUGGUGCGCUGGGAGUUCCCCUCAUGGUGCAGUGGAAAUGAAUCCGACUAGGAACCAUGAGGUUGCAGGGUCAAUCCCCGGCCUUGCUCAGUGGGCUAAGGAUCCGGCGUUGCCCUGAGCUGUGGUGUAGGUUACAGACGCGGCUCAGAUCUGGCGUUGCUGUGGCUGGGAUGUAGGCCAGCAGCUGCAGCUCCGAUUCUACCCCUAGCCCGGGAACCUUCAUCUGCCGCAGAUUCGGCCCAAAAAAGCAAAAAAAAAAAAAAAAAAAAAAA
ensembl:lncRNA